rnacentral:rRNA from 1 species
GACAGAGGGGGCAAGCGUUGCUCGGAAUUACUGGGCGUAAAGGGCGCGUAGGCGGGAUGGUAAGUCGGUCGUGAAAUCCCUCGGCUCAACCGAGGAACGUCGAUCGAUACUACCGUUCUUGAGGAUUGCAGAGGAGACUGGAAUUCCCGGUGUAGCGGUGAAAUGUGUAGAGAUCGGGAGGAACACCGGUGGCGAAGGCAGCUUGCUGGGACGUUACUGACGCUAAGGCGCGAAAGCGUGGGGAGCGAACAGG